GGAAGAUUUUGCAGCAUGCUGUGGUCUCCCAGGGAUUUUUGGCAGGUUCUCAUUUCCUCGGGGAGCCAAGAACAUUUUGUCUCUGCAUCUCACAUAGUUCUCUCUUGCCUUCGAUGCCGUGCGGUCUCGAGGGGCAGCGCUGCCUGGAGACAUCUCAGAGGGGCUGGCAGCUUCUGUGGAGCUCGGGUCACAACCCACAGCGAGUGUAAGGACGAAAGUCCAGGACAUUAGGGUACAGGCAGCAGGGAUGGAUGAGGGUGACUCCAGAUGUUCGAGACUUUGGCCCAGGUCAGCCUCUAGGCCUUAUGAAAGGGACUUAAGAGAUAUUCUUGGCAAUUCCUUCGCAGUCAGAGACAAAAGUGUCAGUGCAGAAUUAUCAAGCGUAGGGUCGAAGGCCUGGCCAGACAUUUUAGCAGAAAUCUGUAAUUAUGGCAGUCAAACCAAUACAUUCUGGGUCAUUAAAGAGACACUAAGUGACACUCUCCCACUGGCACAGGCCAACACUCCUCAUCAGUGCAGGCACCUACAGAGGGCAGAGGUUGCCUCCAUGCCCAGGGCUCAGGAAUGCCUCGCGCUACUUGUCAGCUUCUUACUGCCAGCAGACAUGAGCCUUUCAUCCACCCUGGUGAUGCACCAUCAUCAUUGCUGGAAAUCCCAAGCGUGUUAUGGCACUUCUGCCACAUCAAGCUAUAUUCUCAGUCCAUAACAAACAUCUCCUGGAGACACAGCAGGCACCAAAAGCAUCCUCAAUGGGUUUACCCACACUGAGAGGAGACACCAAGGAGGUGAGGUGUGAGACCAGAUCUGUAUCUCACUGUAUCAGUUGGAUUCAGCAUUGUUACCCGCAGGGGCCAGCAAGGGGGAAGGGGAAGAGAGGCUGGUGCCAUGCACACCCUCCCAUGCUCAUCCACAGCUCCCACUCCAAGAGUGGUCUCACUCUGGUGGCCACCAGCAGUCUAGGAAAAGCAACUUUCACCCUAUUUUAUGGGUAAAAAUGGAAGAGUCUGGAGAACAAAGGCUAUUAUUAAUUCCCAUCUGUUGAAAGUAGGCUGCAGCUGUUUUGAGAGGUUUUCCUGCAAGCUAUGCAGAUCUGCUCAGAAUUUUAAUGGUUGUUUACCAACCAAAGCAUGCCAUUGAAAGAGCAAGAUGUUUCCAAGUAAACAUGGUGUGAACAUCAUUUCAGCCUAGAAAUAAAUGUCUUCUUUCUUGCAAAUAUUUUUCUAGGUGAGAAAAGACGGCUUUGUAUUUGGUUCUUUCAUUUUUCAGCUGUUCUUUUUUUAACUCAUCCUCUGCCAUCUAAGAAGCAUACAGAAGAGAUAUCUUGAAAUAUGCAAUGCAAUUUAACACACACAAAAAACCUUGUUAACCCCAGACAUUUAGUGUGGUCACUGUAGGUAGCCCUACAAAACACUGCUGUGUGGUUAAAGUAGUAUGUGCCAGUAAAACUGGUAUCUGUCCAAAGAACCUAGCAAGCCCUGAAGAAAAACACUGCAUACAAAAGAUGAAGAAAAAAAAAAAAAAAAAAGGAGAAGGCUUUGUUAUAUUCUGGGGGACUUCGCCCCAUAGCCACUUCACCCUGGUGGACAAGUCAUGGAGGAGCAUGGAUCUUCUUAAGCACUAGUUGAUGUGACCCUUAACAAUCGCUAGUUGUGAUUUAUUUUUCUGUCCCUCUCACUCUACCAUACAGCACAGCUGACAGGCAAAAGAAAAUGUGUCCACCAAUCUCUAGAGUUCGUGACACAGCAAGGUGAAUAAGACCUCUUCUUCUGCUGUGACUGACAGCAUUUUCUCCUCAACAUAGGAAGCUGCGUGAGAAGGAACACCAAGUGACUUGGCUUCCUGAUAGAACUAGCUGACCAGGAGCCCCUCUGCAUGAGUACAUCUGAUUUGAUCCAUCUCCCUAUUAGAUUUUGGGGUCAGGUGCAUGGAGGGAUUUUUAGAGUUAAUAUGUCUCUGAAUUCACUCAUAGAUCUGAAAAAUUAUUCUUCCAAAAUACUUAUGUUCUAAACAUUUUGCCUUUGGACAAAAGGAACUGACAAAUGAGCUACUGUACUUAAAUAGAUGAUUUGGGGAGUCUCAUUCUGGAACACAAUCUGGUGUACAGCAGCAUUUGAUAACAGCAGCAUUUUCGAGCAAUACUGACUGUUGGGAUUCAUAACAGAAAACUUUUGUCAACUGUGAGAUCGGACCAAAAAGAAGAGGAUGACAUCACUGGCUCAUCACAUAAGCUGAAGGACUGACUUGACUAGACUGGAUGCUUCAAAAGAGGAAAGUAACCUAGAGCAGACAUGGAUUAAACUGAACGGGUGUAAAAGUGUACACAAGCACAAUGUACUUUUAAAUUAGACUUGUGUCUUUUGUGAUUACACAAAAGCCAGAACAGGAAGAUGAUUGUUGCAGAGAAUCUGAAAAUUUUGCACAGGACAAAAACCCAAAGCAUUUAUUUUGGAAUACUGCCUGACCCAGUUUAAGACUUUUCAUUUGGCAGUAUAAAGUACUAAAUUGUGUGGGAUGAUGAUCAAGGCCAAGUAUUAAGGCAGCCUGUUGGCUGAAGGUUUGCACAGCACAUCUCAGUUUAUCUUCAUAAAGUGUAUAAUUGAACCAUUUAAAUCUGUGGGGUCAGCUGGGCUAUUGUUAAAGUUUAUGUAAAUACAGUACCAUUAAGCAAAUACUAUACAAAGUAUUAAAGAUCAUUUGUCUUCCUUA